rnacentral:rRNA from 1 species
UACGAAGGGGGCUAGCGUUGUUCGGAAUUACUGGGCGUAAAGAGCGCGCAGGCGGUCGUUCAAGUCGAGUGUGAAAGCCCCCCGGCUCAACUGGGGAGGGUCAUUCGAUACUGAUCGGACUCGAAGGCAGGAGAGGGAAGCGGAAUUCCCGGUGUAGUGGUGAAAUGCGUAGAUAUCGGGAGGAACACCAGUGGCGAAGGCGGCUUCCUGGCCUGUUCUUGACGCUGGAGGCGCGAAAGCUAGGGGAGCAAACGGG